GUGAAUCAUCGAAUCUUUGAACGCACCUUGCGCUCCUUGGUAUUCCGAGGAGCAUGCCUGUUUGAGUGUCUUGAACUCAUCAACCGCUCCCGUUUGAAAAGGCGGGGGGCCGGGUUGGAUCUGGGGGCUUGCCGCUGCGAAGCGGCUCCCUUCAAAUGCAUCGGUUGGACCUGUGGGUCGAACUCGACUGGGCGUUGUAACAUCCUCGCUCUACCGAGAGGUUCCCCUUUGGUUGUCCUCCCACGAUUCGCCUGUGGAGUGGCGGUCAAUUUGCUUUGAAAUCUGACCUCAAAUCAGGUAGGACUACCCGCUGAACUUAAGCAUAUCAAUAAGCGGAGGA
rnacentral:misc_RNA from 1 species